rnacentral:piRNA from 1 species
ACCCAGUCAGACGACGGGCAUUGUCCAGG